ACCUAGUAGUAUGGGAUAGCCACUAGAAAUGGUGGGUAAUACUGUAUAAUCCCUGCGGGGGAAAGAUUUAUCGCUAUUAGAUGAGCCUAUGUCAGAUUAGCUAGUUGGUAGGGUAAAGGCCUACCAAGGCAGUGAUCUAUAGCUGGUCUGAGAGGAUGAUCAGCCACACUGGAACUGAGACACGGUCCAGACUCCUACGGGAGGCAGCAGUGGGGAAUAUUGGACAAUGGGCGCAAGCCUGAUCCAGCUAUGCCGCGUGAGUGAGGAAGGCCUUAGGGUUGUAAAACUCUUUCAGUGGGGAAGAUAAUGACGGUACCCACAGAAGAAGUCCCGGCAAACUCCGUGCCAGCAGCCGCGGUAAUACGGAGGGGGCAAGCGUUGUUCGGAAUUAUUGGGCGUAAAGGGCAUGUAGGCGGUUCGGUAAGUUAAAGGUGAAAUGCCAGGGCUUAACCCUGGAGCUGCUUUUAAUACUGCCAGACUUGAGUCCGGAAGAGGAUA
rnacentral:rRNA from 1 species